rnacentral:rRNA from 1 species
UGUGUCCUACGGGAGGCAGCAGUGGGGAAUAUUGCACAACGGGGGAAACCCUGAUGCAGCGACGCCGCGUGAGUGAAGAAGUAUUUCGGUAUGUAAAGCUCUGUCAGCAGGGAAGAAAAUGACGGUACCUGACCAAGAAGCCCCGGCUAACUACGUGCCAGCAGCCGCGGUAAUACGUAGGGGGCAAGCGUUAUCCGGACUCACUGGGUGUAAAGGGAGCGUAGACGGCCAUGCAAGCCUGGAGUGAAAGCCCGGGGCCCAACCC